ACAGCCAUAUCACAUUGAAAUAGCGGUUCUCUUUCAAUCACCAAAAUUAAGCAACAUCAAGCCUGAUCAGUACCUAAAUGGGUGACUGCUUGGGAAUACCAGGUGCUGUAAG